rnacentral:rRNA from 1 species
GACGAACGCUGGCGGCGUGCUUAACACAUGCAAGUCGAACGGAAAGGCCCUGCGUUUGUGGGUUGCUCGAGUGCGAACGGGGGAGUAACACGUGAGUAACCUGCCCUUGACUUUGGUAUAACUUCAGGAAACAGGGGCUACUACCGGCUAGGAGCUCCUCCUGCAUGGUGGGGGUUGGAAAGUUUCGGCGGUUGGGGAUGGCUUCGCGGCUUAUCAGCUUGUUGGUGGGGUAGGGGCUUACCAAGGCUUUGACGGGUAGCCGGCCCGAGAGGGUUACCGGGCACAUUAGUACUACGGUAGGGCCCAGUCUCCUACGGGAGGCAGCAGGGGGGAACAUUGCGGAAUGGGCGCGCGUCUGAUGCAGCAGCGCCGCGUGCGGGAUGACGGCCUUCGGGUUGUGAACCACUUUCGCCUGUGACGAAGCGGGAGUGACGGUAAUGAGUAAAGAAGCACCGGCUAACUACGUG